AUUGAACGCUGGCGGCAGGCCUAACACAUGCCAGUCGAGCGGAUGAAGGGAGCUUGCUCCUGGAUUCAGCGGCGGACGGGUGAGUAAUGCCUAGGAAUCUGCCUGGUAGUGGGGGAUAACGUCCGGAAACGGGCGCUAAUACCGCAUACGUCCUGAGGGAGAAAGUGGGGAUCUUCGGACCUCACGCUAUCAGAUGAGCCUAGAUCGGAUUAGCUAGUUGGUGGGGUAAAGGCCUACCAAGGCGACGAUCCGUAACUGGUCUGAGAGGAUGAUCAGUCACACUGGAACUGAGACACGGUCCAGACUCCUACGGGAGGCAGCAGUGGGGAAUAUUGGACAAUGGGCGAAAGCCUGAUCCAGCCAUGCCGCGUGUGUGAAGAAGGUCUUCGGAUUGUAAAGCACUUUAAGUUGGGAGGAAGGGCAGUAAGUUAAUACCUUGCUGUUUUGACGUUACCAACAGAAUAAGCACCGGCUAACUUCGUG
rnacentral:rRNA from 1 species